rnacentral:rRNA from 1 species
UACGUAGGGGGCUAGCGUUGUCCGGAAUCAUUGGGCGUAAAGCGCGCGUAGGCGGCCCGGUAAGUCCGCUGUGAAAGUCGGGGGCUCAACCCUCGGAUGCCGGUGGAUACUGUCGGGCUUGAGUGCGGAAGAGGCGAGUGGAAUUCCUGGUGUAGCGGUGAAAUGCGCAGAUAUCAGGAGGAACACCAAUUGCGAAGGCAGCUCGCUGGGACGUUACUGACGCUGAUGCGCGAAAGCGUGGGGAGCAAACAGG